rnacentral:rRNA from 1 species
AACGUAGGGGGCAAGCGUUGCCCGGAUUCACUGGGCGUAAAGCGCGUGUAGGCGGUCCGUUAAGUCGGAUGUGAAAUCUCUGGGCUCAACCCAGAAAUCGCAUCCGAUACUGGCGGACUUGAGGAUGGUAGAGGUUGGUGGAAUUCCCGGUGUACCGGUGAAAUGGACAGAUAUCGGGAGGAACACCAGUGGCGAAGGCGGCCAACUGGGCCAUUCCUGACGCUGAGACGCGAAAGCUAGGGGAGCAAACGGG